rnacentral:lncRNA from 1 species
UGUAUGUAUGUAUGCAGAGUACUACAUAUAUGAUCAAACAUAUUAUACUAAUUAAUCUACCUAUAUGUAAAUUUAUGAUGAGCAAAUAACAUAUAUUUUGUAGGUAUUUUAUUUUGUAUGUAUUAUCACAUAUAUUGGGCACGUUUUAUUAUUAUAUGUACAAAAUAAAGGUAAAAUAGUAUUGAAUAAAAUAAUAAUAAUUUUUUAUGUAGGUACAUUAUUUUGCAUACAUUGGGUUUGCUUUAUUUGUAGAUAAAUUAUUUUGCAUGUAUUUUACAUAUAGUGGGGAAAUUAUUUUGCAUGUAUUUUACAUAUAGUGGGGAAAUUAUUUUGUUUUUUUUAAGCAAUCUAACAUUUUAAAAUUCGAAUGGUAGGUGCACUGAAUCAA